AGACCGAUAGCGAACAAGUACAGUGAUGGAAAGAUGAAAAGAACUUUGAAAAGAGAGUGAAAAAGUACGUGAAAUUGUUGAAAGGGAAGGGCUUGAGAUCAGACUUGGUAUUUUGCAUGCUGCUCUCUCCGGGGGCGGCCGCUGCGGUUUACCGGGCCAGCAUCGGUUUGGAGCGGCAGGAUAAUGGCGGAGGAAUGUGGCACGGCUUCUGCUGUGUGUUAUAGCCUCUGACGAUACUGCCAGCCUAGACCGAGGACUGCGGUUUUUACCUAGGAUGUUGGCAUAAUGAUCUUAAGUCGCCCGUCUUGAAACACGGACCAAG
rnacentral:rRNA from 1 species